rnacentral:rRNA from 1 species
GACGAACGCUGGCGGCGUGCUUAACACAUGCAAGUCGAACGGAAAGGCCCUGCUUUUGUGGGGUGCUCGAGUGGCGAACGGGUGAGUAGCACGUGAGUAACCUGCCCUUGACUUUGGGAUAACUUCAGGAAACUGGGGCUAAUACCGGAUAGGAGCUCCUGCUGCAUGGUGGGGGUUGGAAAGUUUCGGCGGUUGGGGAUGGACUCGCGGCUUAUCAGCUUGUUGGUGGGGUAGUGGCUUACCAAGGCUUUAACGGGUAGCCGGCCUGAGAGGGUGACCGGCCACAUUGGGACUGAGAUACGGCCCAGACUCCUACGGGAGGCAGCAGUGGGGAAUAUUGCACAAUGGGCGGAAGCCUGAUGCAGCAACGCCGCGUGCGGGAUGACGGCCUUCGGGUUGUAAACCGCUUUCGCCUGUGACGAAGCGUGAGUGACGGUAAUGGGUAAAGAAGCACCGGCUAACUACGUG